GACGAACGCUGGCGGCGUGCCUAAUACAUGCAAGUAGAACGCUGAAGCUUGGUGCUUGCACCGAGCGGAUGAGUUGCGAACGGGUGAGUAACGCGUAGGUAACCUGCCUGGUAGCGGGGGAUAACUAUUGGAAACGAUAGCUAAUACCGCAUAACAGUAGAUAUCGCAUGAUAGCUACUUGAAAGGUGCAAAUGCACCACUACCAGAUGGACCUGCGUUGUAUUAGCUAGUUGGUGAGGUAACGGCUCACCAAGGCAACGAUACAUAGCCGACCUGAGAGGGUGAUCGGCCACACUGGGACUGAGACACGGCCCAGACUCCUACGGGAGGCAGCAGUAGGGAAUCUUCGGCAAUGGACGGAAGUCUGACCGAGCAACGCCGCGUGAGUGAAGAAGGUUUUCGGAUCGUAAAGCUCUGUUGUAAGAGAAGAACGAGUGUGAGAGUGGAAAGUUCACAAUGUGACGGUAUCUUACCAGAAAGGGACGGCUAACUACGUG
rnacentral:rRNA from 1 species